rnacentral:rRNA from 1 species
CCAUCAUUCAGUUGGGGACUCUAGAGAGACUGCCGGUGAUAACCGGAGAAGUGGGGAUGACGUCAAAUCAUCAUGCCCCUUAUGGCCUGGGCUACAAACGUAAUACAAUGGCGUAUACAAAGGGAUGCGAAAGGGCGACCUGGAGCAAAACUCACAAAGUACGUCUCAGUUCAGAUUGGAGUCUGCAACUCGACUCCAUGAAGGCGGAAUCGCUAGUAAUCGCGGAUCAGCAUGCCGCGGUGAAUACGUUCUCGGGGUUU